GAGGCUGUAGCCCUGGGCAAUCCCGGGGGUCGUUACAGGAAGGUAGGAAAAUGCCACCCUCAGGGCACUGGUUGGGCUAAAGGUGACACUGGCGUCUCACGGGCUAUGAAGACGGAAUGCCUCUUAAUGCCGGAAUUCCAAGACGGAAUGCCUCUUAAUGCCGGGCAAGUCUCACAUGAAGCUACUCAUCAUUUGCUUCGUGUCCUCCGAGCUCCGAGAGUUGGCAAAGCUGAUGAAGGAGCAGUAGACAGCGACCCAAGCACACCACUUCAGCUAGGGAAAGACCGAUUUAAGGCUGCAAGGAAGGAGUCCUGGGAGCAUGGCUUUCCCUGAGCCAAAGCCGCGGCCUCCAGAGCUGCCGCAGAAACGGUUGAAGACGCUGGACUGCGGGCAGGGGGCAGUGCGAGCCGUACGAUUUAAUGUGGAUGGCAAUUACUGCCUGACGUGCGGCAGUGACAAGACGCUGAAGCUGUGGAACCCGCUUCGGGGGACGCUGCUGCGGACGUACAGCGGCCACGGCUACGAGCUCCUUUGACAACAGUAGUCUCUGCUCCGGCGGCGGGGACAAGGCGGUGGUUCUGUGGGAUGUGGCAUCAGGGCAGGUCGUGCGCAAAUUCCGGGGCCACGCAGGGUCCUCCAAAGUCCAGCCUCCUCUGAGUGGCAAUAACUUUCUCAGAAGGUGAACACGGUGCAGUUUAAUGAAGAGGCCACAGUUAUCCUGUCCGGCUCUAUUGAUUCCAGUAUCCGCUGUUGGGAUUGCCGCUCACGGAGGCCUGAGCCAGUGCAGACGCUGGAUGAGGCCAGAGAUGGCGUGUCCAGUGUGAAGGUGUCAGACCACGAGAUCCUGGCAGGCUCCGUGGAUGGCCGCGUGAGACGCUAUGACCUAAGGAUGGGGCAGCUCUUCUCAGACUACGUGGGCAGCCCCAUCACCUGCACCUGCUUCAGCCGGGAUGGGCAGUGCACCCUGGUGUCCAGCCUGGACUCCACAUUGCGGCUCCUGGACAAAGACACAGGGGAGCUGCUGGGCGAGUACAAGGGC
rnacentral:lncRNA from 1 species